rnacentral:rRNA from 1 species
GAAUCCGCCAAGGAGUGUGUAACAACUCACCUGCCGAAUGAACUAGCCCUGAAAAUGGAUGACGCUUAAGCGGUCUGCCGACACCACGCCGUUUUGACAAAAUGCGAUCAAAAUGAGUAGGAGGGCGUGGCGGUCUUGUUGGGAAGAUCUAGACGCAAGUCUGAUUUGAACGGCCGCUAGUGCAGAUCUUGGUGGUAGUAGCAAAUAUUCAAGCGAGAUCCUUGAAGGGCGAAGCGGGGAAGGGUUCCACGCGAACAUUGAUUGGGCGUGGGUGAGUCGUUCCUAAGCCGGGUGGUAAUCGUUCUUCGAUCGGCGAAAGGGAAGCGGGUUAAAAUUCCCGCACACGGAUGUGAAAGCGGUGACGCAAGUUGAGGUGGAGACGUCAGCGGUGGCGCUAGGCAGAGUUCUCUUUUCUGUUUGACCUGUGAGUGCAUGCUGUGGAAACCGAUUAUCGGGAGAAACAGGUGCCGAUGGGCAGAGCGUCGGGGUGUCCCCGGCGUCUAGAACGCCACCGAUGGCCCUUGAAAAUCCAUCUGCAAUUACAUUUCACGCCGUGGCGUACCGAUAACCGCAUCAGGUCCCCAAGGUGAACAGCCUCUGCUCAAUAUGAACAAUGCAGGUAAGGGAAGUCGGCA